UCCUGAUGAAACCGAUGACGAGUCUUAUUCGGGUUUCCGAUGCAGACACAUCUUUUUUUUACCAUUCAUGCUUUCCUGACA
rnacentral:snoRNA from 1 species